CAACAGAUCAAGAGGUGAAGGGAGAGGUGAAGGGAGGCUCUGCUCAGCUGUGAGGCAACAGAAGGCAGGAUUGGUGCUGACCUCCGCCAUGGCCUGGUCCCCUCUCCUCCUCACCCUCCUCGCUCACUGCACAGGGAUUUGGGCUCAGUCGGGGCCGAAUCAACCAUCCUCAGUGUCUGGGGCCCUGGGCCAGAGGGUCACUAUCUCCUGCACUGGAGUUGGUAGUUACGUGUACUGGUACCAACAAAUCCCAGGAAUGGCCCCCAAAACCAUCAUCUAUUAUGAUAGCAACCGACCCUCAGGGGUCCCUGAUCGAUUCUCCGGCUCCAAGUCUGGCAGCACAGGCACCCUGACCAUCACUGGGCUCCAGGCCGAGGACGAGGCUGAUUAUUACUGCUUAUCAUGGUACAGCAGUGGCAGUGCUUACACAGUGGUCCAGGCCUGUGGGGAACCUGUGCUGACCCAGCCGCCCUCCAUCCCUGCAUCUCCAGAAGCAACGGCCGGACUCACCUGCGCCAUGAACAGUGGAUUUCGUGUUUGCAGCUACUACAUAGACAGGUUCCAGAGAAGCCAGGGAGCCCUCCCUGAUCCUGGCAGUGGGAGCAGCUUUCCUUACAGUGUCUCAGACAAGGAGGGAGUGACACAAAAACACUUGGGGCUGAAAGCCUUGUCUCCGAACAUCCUGUACUGA